GCUGAAACGAGAUGGAAGUUUAUGGUCAAACAUGGAAUAUUCUCUGGACUUUAUUAGUCACAGAGACUACAAUCAUGCGACUAGUUAGGUUAGUACUUAGUUCUAGUGUGUGGUUUGAGCUACUUCAAAAUCUAAACAACUAAAAAUCUACAGAACCAUGCCCGAGGCAGGAUUCGAACCUGCAACUGUUGGUCGGACGGCUGAGAUGUGGAAACAAUAGCUCAGCCAUCGACAC
rnacentral:lncRNA from 1 species